GUGCUUGCUUCAGCAGCACAUUUACUAAAAUUGAAACGAUACAGAGAUUAGCAUGGCCUCUGCGCAAGGAUGACUCGCAAAUUCAUGAAGCGUUCCAUAUUUUU
rnacentral:snRNA from 1 species